GGGUAGCCGGCCUGAGAGGGCGACCGGCCACACUGGGACUGAGACACGGCCCAGACUCCUACGGGAGGCAGCAGUGGGGAAUAUUGCACAAUGGGCGAAAGCCUGAUGCAGCGACGCCGCGUGAGGGAUGACGGCCUUCGGGUUGUAAACCUCUUUCAGCAGGGAAGAAGCGAAAGUGACGGUACCUGCAGAAGAAGCGCCGGCUAACUACGUGCCAGCAGCCGCGGUAAUACGUAGGGCGCAAGCGUUGUCCGGAAUUAUUGGGCGUAAAGAGCUCGUAGGCGGCUUGUCACGUCGGUUGUGAAAGCCCGGGGCUUAACCCCGGGUCUGCAGUCGAUACGGGCAGGCUAGAGUUCGGUAGGGGAGAUCGGAAUUCCUGGUGUAGCGGUGAAAUGCGCAGAUAUCAGGAGGAACACCGGUGGCGAAGGCGGAUCUCUGGGCCGAUACUGACGCUGAGGAGCGAAAGCGUGGGGAGCGAACAGGAUUAGAUACCCUGGUAGUCCACGCCGUAAACGGUGGGCACUAGGUGUGGGCAACAUUCCACGUUGUCCGUGCCGCAGCUAACGCAUUAAGUGCCCCGCCU
rnacentral:rRNA from 1 species